rnacentral:ncRNA from 1 species
UUUUUUAAAAGGCAAAGCUAUCGAAAGAUAGUGACGCAAAGCCACGGGUCUAAAGCGACUGCUAUGACCGCCGGGCUACCGGU